AAAUUAUGCUUUGAGGAUAUCUUAAUAUGGAAUUAGAAAUUAUAAUCUAAAUAUGCUUAUACAGAUUUUGGAGUAUAAUUUUUACCGUGUUUUCUUUCAAGUCAUCAUCCUCCCUGGGUACAAAAAGGAUAGAAUUGAUGGGGAUGUUCUUUUUUCCUUCCUUCCUAUGGAUGUUGAAUGUCUCACCUUUUUUUUUAAAAAAAAAUAUCUGCUUGUGCUUGACUCUUUGUGGUAAGCUACAAUUGAGCUAGGGUUGCAAUUGGUUUGGUCUGAUUUAGCAGUUUUAUGAAUGUGUGAACGCUUGACCCACUUAUUAAUGAGCUUGAAAAAUUUUACCAUGAACCUUAACCAUACAUAUAUAUAUCAGCACUAUCGUGAUUCAUCUGGCCUAUUUAUUCCACAUAUCUUGCAUUUUAAUUCUUGUAACAUGGUAUAGGAUGAUAGUUCCUUGGGUCUAGAG
rnacentral:misc_RNA from 1 species